AUGAUGAUGUCACUCAUUCUACUGCUGGGGACACUGGGACUCCUCACUCAGGUGUCCUAUCAGGAAACCCAGAGUCCUGAGUAUCUGUCUGUUACUCCAGGACAGCAGGUUUCUAUUCAGUGUACAGGGAGUAGUGGAGUAGGUAAUGAUCUCAGCUGGUACCUGCAGAAAUCUGGAGAAUCUCCUAAACUCCUCAUUUAUAAAGCAAACAAACGUCAGUCAGGAGUUUCAGAUCGUUUCAGUGGAAGUGGAUCUGAACCUCAUUUUACUCUGACCAUCAGUAACAUCCAGGCUGAAGAUGCAGGAGAUUAUUACUGUAUGGGAGUCUACGGUGGUCCGGUGCUCACACAGUGA